rnacentral:rRNA from 1 species
AUUGAACGCUGGCGGCAUGCCUUACACAUGCAAGUCGAACGGCAGCGCGUCCUUCGGGAUGGCGGCGAGUGGCGAACGGGUGAGUAAUACAUCGGAACGUGCCCGAGAUGGGGGAUAACGCAGCGAAAGCUGUGCUAAUACCGCAUACGAUCUCAGGAUGAAAGCAGGGGACCGCAAGGCCUUGCGCUCACGGAGCGGCCGAUGGCAGAUUAGGUAGUUGGUGGGAUAAAAGCUUACCAAGCCGACGAUCUGUAGCUGGUCUGAGAGGACGACCAGCCACACUGGGACUGAGACACGGCCCAGACUCCUACGGGAGGCAGCAGUGGGGAAUUUUGGACAAUGGGCGAAAGCCUGAUCCAGCCAUGCCGCGUGCAGGAUGAAGGCCUUCGGGUUGUAAACUGCUUUUGUACGGAACGAAAAGGUCUUUUCUAAUAAAGAAGGCUGAUGACGGUACCGUAAGAAUAAGCACCGGCUAACUACGUG